rnacentral:lncRNA from 1 species
GGCUGGCUACAGGUGUGUCUGACCACGCUUGUGAGGGCGUGGUCAGAGUGACAUAGUGUGACUGUGUUUGCUCUUUUGGUUUCACUUUGCUUCUUGCUGUACAGGCUGCUGCCACGCUGGCUGGCUAGGUCGCUCUAUCAAUGCAUCUGAGGAGUAAGAGAGACUGAUGAUCUGCUCCAAGGAGGCUGCUCACAAAUGAUCCCUCAGAGUCACAACAGAGCAUCAACGAACAAUGAACAGUGUCUAUGGGGACUUGGUUCUUUCAGGUCUGCUUUAACUUAUGCUUGCAAAGCACAGACCUCAGGACUGACUCACAGAAGGCUCUUCUCUGACAGAACAACAGCUUUCCACAAUUUGGGAAAGCACAGACCACCUUUAUCUAAGAUUUCAGCAGAAGGACCUAUUACUGUUCAUUCGAUAAUGGGACAUUGUAAUGAAACUGAGAUAAUAAAAAGCAUAUGUGUUUGGAACUGGUUCAAAUGGGGCAAUGAAUUUAUUCUAUUUUUUUCUGAGUGAGAUCAAGCUUUUAGAAUUAAAGGAGAUAAGGAGCAGAGAAGUCAAAAAGCAAUGAAUGUAGGAUCUAGAUGUUAGAACAAAUAGACUUUAAAAAUGUUUUACAGUAAGUAAUAGAGCAUUGGCCAAAUAAGGUAAAGUCAGAUAAUUAUUCCAUUUCUUAUAGACUGUUCAAGUGCAAACAUUAGAACAUGCAUUCAAUAGAGCUGUUGACCUUCCCCACCCUCACAAUGGGAUCACAAAGAAGAAGAUGUGAUGUAGACUGCAAAGAAGUGUAAUCUGUUUCAUAAAACAAGGCUAACCAAUAACAUUUGCUUCACCGUUUGGGGAUACCUCUGUGAAUUUUGCCAUUUAAUUAUAGACAACUCUAUGUGCUUUUACUCCUUCUGAUUUUUAACCCUCCUGAUAUUUAUAU